GAUGAACGCUGGCGGCGUGCCUAAUACAUGCAAGUCGAGCGAACGGACGAGAAGCUUGCUUCUCUGAUGUUAGCGGCGGACGGGUGAGUAACACGUGGAUAACCUACCUAUAAGACUGGGAUAACUUCGGGAAACCGUAGCUAAUACCGGAUAAUAUUUUGAACCGCAUGGUUCAAAAGUGAAAGACGGUCUUGCUGUCACUUAUAGAUGGAUCCGCGCUGCAUUAGCUAGUUGGUAAGGUAACGGCUUACCAAGGCAACGAUGCGUAGCCGACCUGAGAGGGUGAUUGGCCCAACCUGAACUGAGACACGGUCCAGACUCCUACGGGAGGCAGCAGGAGGGAAUCUUCCGCAAUGGGCGAAAGCCUGACGGAGCAACGCCGCGUGAGUGAUGAAGGUCUUCGGAUCUUAAAACUCUGUUAUUAGGGAAGAACAUAUGUGUAAGUAACUGUGCACAUCUUGACGGUACCUAAUCAGAAGGCCACGGCUAACUACGUG
rnacentral:rRNA from 1 species